rnacentral:rRNA from 1 species
AUUGAACGCUGGCGGCAGGCUUAACACAUGCAAGUCGAACGAGUGGCGGACGGGUGAGUAAUGUCUGGGAAUCUGCCCGAUGGAGGGGGAUAACUACUGGAAACGGUAGCUAAUACCGCAUACCAUCGGAUGAGCCCAGAUGGGAUUAGGUAGUUGGUGGGGUAAAGGCUCACCAAGGCGACGAUCCCUAGCUGGUCUGAGAGGAUGACCAGCCACACUGGAACUGAGACACGGCCCAGACUCCUACGGGAGGCAGCAGUGGGGAAUAUUGCACAAUGGGCGCAAGCCUGACGCAGCCAUGCCGCGUGAAUGAAGAAGGCCUUCGGGUUGUAAAGUACUUUCGGCGGGGAGGCGUUACCUGCAGAAGAAGCACCGGCUAACUCCGUGCCAGCAGCCGCGGUAAUUC